GUGAAUCGGCAGUUAAAUUUGUGAUGACCAGGGGUCACAUGUGAAGUGUCAUGAUGUGUUGAUAAGCCAAACUCCACCUCAUCAGGGACUGGGACUUAAUUUGAAUGACUCCCAUGACUGGUCUGUGACAAAAGAAUCAUUUGAUAUGUACUUGGCAUAACUAUUUAUCAUGCAAAAUCUUUUGCAGGAGACAUGCUCAUUCUGCUCUACAGAAAAGAGUCCAAAACCAGAGGCAGAAACAGCUGAGAUGGAGACUGCAGAGGCAGUUGAAGUAGCAAAAACGAAGGUGGAGGUUGUUGCAGAUACAUCAGAUGCAGAGGAAAAGGAGAAGGAGGAGGCAUCGAAAAAAAGGGUAUAUAAUAUUAUGAUACUGUUCUUUAUAUUCUAUCUAUACAUGUAAGGUGGAUAAGAUGGACUGAUUGUUAACUUGCUGGCACACAUAUACAAAGUUUGGCUCAAAUAAGAUAUUUUGUAAUCCGAGUGAGUAUAGAAAGGGCAGACUACACUAUACUAUUUAUACUUUAUGUGGUGUUAUAUGGACCUGUGUCUGCAAUGAAGCUUUAUUAUUAUGUAUAUGCACGAUUCCACGUCUCAUUCCUGUAGUAUUAAUCAUCUCUAGUAUCUGCAUUUAAAAAGAGCAUGGGACUUAUGUACAAAGCUUGCGUACACAAAGCAGCUGCGCACACCUCUUCUCAUGCACACAUACAGAUGUACAAAGGCUACUUGAACGUGAGUGUGCAGUCAUGUGAUACAGGCCGUCUCUGUUUUCAAUGCCUAAUGAAGAUCCGAU